rnacentral:rRNA from 1 species
GAUGAACGCUGGCGGCGUGCCUAAUACAUGCAAGUCAAGCGAACGGACGAGAAGCUUGCUUCUCUGAUGUUAGCGGCGGACGGGUGAGUAACACGUGGAUAACCUACCUAUAAGACUGGGAUAACUUCGGGAAACCGGAGCUAAUACCGGAUGAUAUUUUGAACCGCAUGGUUCAAAAGUGAAAGACGGUCUUGCUGUCACUUAUAGAUGGAUCCGCGCUGCAUUAGCUAGUUGGUAAGGUAACGGCUUACCAAGGCAACGAUGCAUAGCCGACCUGAGAGGGUGAUCGGCCACACUGGAACUGAGACACGGUCCAGACUCCUACGGGAGGCAGCAGUAGGGAAUCUUCCGCAAUGGGCGAAAGCCUGACGGAGCAACGCCGCGUGAGUGAUGAAGGUCUUCGGAUCGUAAAACUCUGUUAUUAGGGAAGAACAUAUGUGUAAGUAACUGUGCACAUCUUGACGGUACCUAAUCAGAAAGCCACGACUAACUACGUG